AUUGAACGCUGGCGGCAGGCCUAACACAUGCAAGUCGAGCGAGCGGCGGACGGGUGAGUAAUGUCUGGGAAACUGCCUGAUGGAGGGGGAUAACUACUGGAAACGGUAGCUAAUACCGCAUACUAUCAGAUGAGCCCAGAUGGGAUUAGCUAGUAGGUGUGGUAAAGGCUCACCUAGGCGACGAUCCCUAGCUGGUCUGAGAGGAUGACCAGCCACACUGGGACUGAGACACGGACCAGACUCCUACGGGAGGCAGCAGUGGGGAAUAUUGCACAAUGGGCGAAAGCCUGAUGCAGCCAUGCCGCGUGUGUGAAGAAGGCCUUAGGGUUGUAAAGCACUUUCAGCGGGGAGGCGUUACUCGCAGAAGAAGCACCGGCUAACUCCGUGCCAGCAGCCGCGGUAAUAC
rnacentral:rRNA from 1 species